rnacentral:misc_RNA from 1 species
AAAGUGCGAUACGUAGUGCGAGACGCACCUGUGAGUCAUCGAGUCUUUGAACGCAUUUUGCACUCGCAAGAGUACAUCUGCCUGAGGCGGCGAGAUUGUAUGUCGCUGGACAGCGGUGGCGGAUGCGUCCGCUGAAAUGCAGAGGAGCGGAUGAACUCCAGACUCCUGAGGGCGGAGCAAUCCACCUAUUCUACAUCGCUCAGGUCAGACGAGAGCACCCGCCGAACUUAA